AUUGAACGCUGGCGGCAUGCCUUACACAUGCAAGUCGAACGGCAGCGGGGGAGAAGCUUGCUUUUCCUGCCGGCGAGUGGCGAACGGGUGAGUAAUACAUCGGAACGUGCCCUGUAGUGGGGGAUAACUAGUCGAAAGAUUAGCUAAUACCGCAUACGACCUGAGGGUGAAAGUGGGGGACCGUAAGGCCUCAUGCUAUAGGAGCGGCCGAUGUCUGAUGAGCUAGUUGGUGGGGUAAAGGCCUACCAAGGCGACGAUCUGUAGCUGGUCUGAGAGGACGACCAGCCACACUGGGACUGAGACACGGCCCAGACUCCUACGGGAGGCAGCAGUGGGGAAUUUUGGACAAUGGGCGCAAGCCUGAUCCAGCCAUGCCGCGUGCGGGAAGAAGGCCUUCGGGUUGUAAACCGCUUUUGUCAGGGAAGAAACGGCUCUUGCUAAUAUCGAGAGCUAAUGACGGUACCUGAAGAAUAAGCACCGGCUAACUACGUGCCAGCCGCCGCGGUAA
rnacentral:rRNA from 1 species